UAUUCCCCACUGCUGCCUCCCGUAGGAGUCUGGGCCGUAUCUCAGUCCCAAUGUGGCCGGUCAACCUCUCAGUCCGGCUACUGAUCGUCGCCUUGGUGGGCCGUUACCUCACCAACUAGCUAAUCAGACGCGAGGCCAUCUUUCAGCGAUAAAUCUUUGACAUUCAAGCGAUGCCGCUCGAAUGUGUCAUGCGGUAUUAGCAGUCGUUUCCAACUGUUGUCCCCCUCUGAAAGGCAGGUUCCUCACGCGUUACUCACCCGUCCGCCACUGUCCUCUGCUUCACUUGGACGAACCCUCGAUCCACAGAUUCUCGUUCGACUUGCAUGUGUUAAGCACGCCGCCAGCGUUCAUCCUGAGCCAA
rnacentral:rRNA from 1 species